UGAGAAAGCAACCCUGCUAGCUUGAGCUAAGUUAAAACAACACAGCUCCAAGAAAAUGAAACAAUCCAGAAACACUCCCUCCGGCUCUUGCCCUAGCAAACCAGAAACACUCCCUCGCCGGCCACUCUACAGUCGCACCGCACCACUCCGGCCUCCAAGUGACCAAGGUUGUAGCUUCCGUGCCAGUCUAGAGCCACACCGUUACCCGUUGUGUUUUCUCCCUCCGAGCGGCUCCGUCACCACAACUGUUUGAAAACUAAAAUGCUGUGCUCAUCCACCGAGUCAGAUCAUGCAAUUUUCUUUUGGUUGAUGCCUCAUAAAGUUGCGGUAUGGAUAUAUUGGCAUGUAAGCUCUGUUUUGCUAUACUUUCCACUUACUGUGUUUUUAUAUGAUAAAUUAAUAUUUAGAGCGAAUGCUGUCAGACUAAUAUAAGUUUUCUUUGGCAAGCAAUUUAAGGCGCUUGAACUUGUAAUGAUUGAAAUUUGAAGUGUGAUUGGAACUGAAAUGUACUAAUUAAAGAGACCAACUAUUGGGUUAAUAAGUAAUGUAUAUUUAUGUUUUGGAUAUAUUAAAUAAAAAAUAUAUCCAGUGGCCCAAUGGAGUUGUAUGAUCCAGAACAAUAAACACGAUCGAAUAUUUAUGCUUAA